UACGGUGGCGGCCUAAGCCCGG
rnacentral:snRNA from 1 species